UGGGGAAUUUUUCGCAAUGGGGGAAACCCUGACGAAGCAACGCCGCGUGGAGGAUGAAGGCCUUCGGGUCGUAAACUCCUGUCGACCGGGACGAACGCUAUUGGGCCCAAUACGCCCGAUAGUCGACUGUACCGGUGGAGGAAGCCACGGCUAACUCUGUGCCAGCAGCCGCGGUAAUACGUAGGGGGCAAGCGUUGUCCGGAAUUACUGGGCGUAAAGGGCUCGUAGGCGGCCAACUAAGUCAGACGUGAAAUCCCUCGGCUUAACCGGGGAACUGCGUCUGAUACUGGAUGGCUUGAGGUUGGGAGAGGGAUGCGGAAUUCCAGGUGUAGCGGUGAAAUGCGUAGAUAUCUGGAGGAACACCGGUGGCGAAGGCGACAUCCUGGACCAAUUCUGACGCCGAGGAGCGAAAGCCAGGGGAGCAAACGGGAUUAGAUACCCCGGUAGUCCCUGAGCGGGCUGGCAAGGCGCAU
rnacentral:rRNA from 1 species